GUGAAUAAUUGCUCAACGGUUCCUGGAAUGAUCGUGGAGGUCCUCUGCACCUGUAUCUAACCUUCCACGCCAAGCAUCGCCCACCCGCCAAGACUCACAACCUCAUCAACUCUUCCUCGGCAACGCAGCUUUGACAACGGUGGUAGCGGUGUGUUACACACACACACAUAGGUGUAUAAGGCAUGUCUAAAACCUGAUAGUAUUCCUGGCCCGCUAAACUGACAUUCAUAAACUCAUGGAAACGUGUCAGACUCUCAGAAAAACAGACGAUAAGUUAAUUUUCCAAGACAGGAAUGCUGCGGAGACACGACCGACUGACGGACUCAUCGCUCGCUGGACUUGGCAGCCGGUCUGCGGGAAUCUCAUCGCUUACACGGGAGCAACUGAGAAGUGAAAGGAGCAACGCAAAUACAGCUGACGGAACAAGGGAAGUGCGAAAUAAAAUGCAGCACCAACACACGUCGUGUUUUCAGACGAUGCCGUGUUGCAAAGACGAGAUGAGACAAAUCAGACCUUCACUCUUUCCUGAAGGCCGAUCUACUUCCUGGUACCGACUUCCUGUCGCUCCUACCGUGAUGUCAUGUAGUAUCGCAUUAGGACCUUUAUCGUGGGUUUGAAGGGAUUGACCAGUGCACCAUGUGACAGCUCUGCAUCGGAUGCACAUUGUCAGGGGAUCCUGGAACUCAGUGUGACACAAUUAUUUAAAUCACAUUCAAUCCCGUAGACAUUUAUAACCAGUUCUUCAGCAGUAAUGUUGUAAAAAAAGGGAAUAAAUGAAAUUUGUGUUUUGGCUCCAACUGCAACAGCGACGUUUUAUUGACACGUUGGAGGUUUUUUUUCAUCGUCGGUAUUCAUGGGGUUAAUGUUUCCUUUUAAUGACUUCUGAUCUCGGACCAAAAUAAAUGUGUUCGCAUUUGAUUGGUUAUUGAUUGGAAGGGUCUUGGAACGUCAGACAAUAUCUGUAGAAAACAUUUUUUGGUGGAUUAAUAUUGGCCAGAAUUGCAUCCAAAUAAUGUGGCUAUUCACUUCUCGGCAAUCCCGUUCAAAGGAAAACGUGCCUUUCGAUUACCUUUUGCACUCUUGCUUUGCUGAAUAUUAUCCAGGCUGACAGGAACACGGAGGAAGCAAGCCAGUUGUAACACACGUGUCUUCAUUGAUCUCUCAUCCUGCUCAUUCUGGCAUCAAAUGUCCCCACAAAGAAAAUCAAAGGAUGCAGCGCUUUCAUUUUUCACUUUUUCAUGAAGAACGUUUUUGCUCAGCCAUCAGUGCCAAAAUCCUGCAGCCGCUUCACCCUGCAGGGGCGUAGACGCCGCCGGAGUAGAAGACCCUCAGCUGCGACCACCUGACCAGGAUUGUGAGCAAAAUAUUUUGUGACUGAUUUGAUGUCACUCAAGGACAAACGGGGGGGAAAAAAAGAGCAUUUCUUGCUGUAGAUUCUCCAUUCAAAUGGUAAUGUGCAGCUUCAAAUCCUGCUUAAAAAAGUCUAAAUGCCAGCGCCACAUAAGGGGGCUUUCAGGUGACGUACACUUUGUAGUGCCGCCAUGUUGAAGGUCUCCGUCUGUAAGCCAGCUUUAGCCGUCGAGUCGCUGGUGGAUGACAGCCACGGGGUUAAACAGGGACUCUGCUUCAGUUGCGUCGUUAAAACUGAGCUGCUGACGUGAUCGUUAGCGGAGCGCGGCGCCUCAGCUCCACGCACGCGUAUGCAUGGAUAAGCUCCGCCCUCAGCAGGAAAUAGGAGAAAAUACGACGGCACAAACACGGCGAAGACUCGAGCAAAGAACUGAUUGUGUGCCGCCUGCAGUGCUUUUUAUUUUAAAAAUAAUUGAAACACACUCAAUUGCUCAUCGUGGCACCGAGUACUGUUGCUAAGAGACUUGUGAAGUGGAUGCAAGGCUUCAUUUAUUGAAAUAUGUCCGGCAAAUCACAUUGCCUGGUCUCGUAUUCCAUUUAUACAUUAAGCAGAACGCAGCCCUACUGAUCAGAGAGUGGACUGGGGCAAAAACAUGCACACGUAAUGGAAAUGCUCCUUCACAAAGUGCCGCGGCUGAUUAACUCAAGAUUACGCUUUUGGAAAGGUGUGAGAUUGGCAUAUAUCGGGUACAUUGGUACUGUAAUGAAUGGAAUAGCAACCUGAAACCAAUUAAGAUUCACACUGGGAUGACUGUCCUCCCUCUGGGGGUCUUUGUGCUGCAAUAAGUUCCUAAUUGCUGAGGCCCCUGUCUUUUUAUCUCUCUUUUUUAUCUCCACAUUGCAAAGCUAAUGUUAAUUUGAAGCAAGUGCGGUUGAUUAAAGAGUGACUUUAAUCAGGAUUUGGAAUCGUAUGCACUCCCAGCCCU
ensembl:lncRNA